GCCCGAGUGGUGAAAUUGGCAGACACGCUAGACUAAGGAUCUAAAGUGAGGCAACUCAUGCAGGUUCAAGUCCUGUCUCGGGCACCA
rnacentral:tRNA from 1 species